rnacentral:rRNA from 1 species
CUACGGGUCGCUCCAGUGAGGAAUAUUGCACAAUGGGGGGAACCCUGAUGCAGCAACGCCGCGUGGAGGAUGACGCAUUUCGGUGUGUAAACUCCUUUUAUAUGUCAAGAAAAUGACGGUAGCAUAUGAAUAAGCGCCGGCUAACUCCGUGCCAGCAGCCGCGGUAAUACGGAGGGCGCAAGCGUUACUCGGAAUCACUGGGCGUAAAGGACGCGUAGGCGGGUUGAAAAGUCAGGUGUGAAAGCCUACAGCUUAACUGUAGAACUGCACUUGAAACUCUCAAUCUAGAGUAUGGGAGGGGCAGAUGGAAUUAGUGGUAUAGGGGUAAAAUCCGUAGAUAUCACUAGGAAUACCUAAAGCGAAGGCGAUCUGCUGGAACAUUACUGACGCUAAGGCGUGAAAGCGUGGGGAGCAAACAGGAUUAGAUACCCCAGUAGUC